rnacentral:rRNA from 1 species
ACUCCUGCGGGAGGCAGCAGUGGGGAAUUUUGGACAAUGGGCGAAAGCCUGAUCCAGCCAUGCCGCGUGCAGGAUGAAGGCCUUCGGGUUGUAAACUGCUUUUGUACGGAACGAAACGGCCUUUUCUAAUAAAGAGGGCUAAUGACGGUACCGUAAGAAUAAGCACCGGCUAACUACGUGCCAGCAGCCGCGGUAAUACGUAGGGUGCAAGCGUUAAUCGGAAUUACUGGGCGUAAAGCGUGCGCAGGCGGUUAUGUAAGACAGUUGUGAAAUCCCCGGGCUCAACCUGGGAACUGCAUCUGUGACUGCAUAGCUAGAGUACGGUAGAGGGGGAUGGAAUUCCGCGUGUAGCAGUGAAAUGCGUAGAUAUGCGGAGGAACACCGAUGGCGAAGGCAAUCCCCUGGACCUGUACUGACGCUCAUGCACGAAAGCGUGGGGAGCAAACAGGAUUAGAUACCCCGGUAGUCCCAUGAU